GUGCUUGCUUUGACAGUGUGUUGGAACUAAAAUUGGAAUGAUACAGAAAUUAGCAUAGCCCUUGAAACAAAAAUUCAUGAAGUGUUCCAUAUUUUU
ensembl:snRNA U6 U6 spliceosomal RNA